ensembl:lncRNA
UGUGAGUUGGAUUCCAGGUAGUAGGUGGUUUGGGUACCAAACUUUACAUCAGUUAAAAAUUUCUUGGACACAAAUGAUCCAUUCCAAAGCUAAGGAUACAGUUUAUAGAACUGACUGACCAGCGCAAGUUAGGAAGCAGGCAGUAACAUCCCACCUUGUCUUUCACACAAACCCCAAAUCAGCAGUCACAAGUGACUUCCUGUUGCAGUUCCUUGGGAGGACUAUACAGGUACUAUAUCUGUCUGCCCAAUCCAAUUUCUUAUAACUCUUUUUCUCUUGGAAUAAUCAGGAGAUGAGUGUUUCUAGAUCACAAUAUAUGCUUUUUGAUCACUUUCCAGACCAUAGUUGAAAAGGGACAUCACCUGAAACAAUAUGGACCAACCAUAGACUCUUAGCCAGAAAAUUACCAGCAGAAUUUGUUUGUGCUUAGAAAUUGGUGUUUGGGUGUUUGGGUAUGGUCUGCACCUAAUCUGGGGCUCAGAGUGGGCACCCUGAAGUACAGGGGUAUCUUCAAUGGGUUUUGAAGAACAAAAGAUGAACUUUUUUCUGAUAUCUUUUUUCUAAAAGCCUGAUGGUAAAACAUUUAAAUGAAUCUUGUGAUUAUAAUAAAAGGUUUCAAAUAAAUACGUCUCUUUUACUUACAUUAGUAUGAACCAGCUUAUAUCUGACUCAACACUGAAAAAGUCAUUACUUAAGUUCCCGUUACAAGGUUUAUUGUGAAUUUUAAGAAACAUGCAUGAUUAAGCUAACUUUGGAAGUCAUGCACAUUCAUCAGCUUCCAUUACUACAGAGUGUCUGUUACACUUAAGUUAGAAGAAAAAAGGGGUCAUUUCCUGGAGGUUCUACGAUAAGAGUGGGUGGAGCCAUUGCCAUGGCCCUUUGAUGGGGGAGACAGAUAACCAUGGUGGACAAAGGCAUAGCAGAGAAAAUAUUCCAACUCAUAAUCUGGGAAGGAAGGAAAAUGAGGAUGAGCUGAGGCCCAUAAUCUCCUUGGAAGCCAUGGUUACAGUAACCUAGCACUCACCUGUAAAGAUCCACAACUUUUGACAGCAUCUAGGAGACCAACCUAUAACACAGAUCUGCAUACAAACCACCACUACUAUGCUUCUUUAGUUACCUUCUUAGAUAUGCCACAACCCCAGUGUGGAUGGCACUUUGUCUUUAGCCACAGGGUAGGCUUCCUACCAUGAUGACUAUAGACUAAACCUGUGAACUUUAAGCAAGCCCCAGCUAACUGUUUUCUUUUGGAAGAGUUGCCUAGUGUCCCUUCACAGGAACAGAGCAUCGACUAAAACAGAGACAAAAGCAUGCUCAUCUCUAUGAGUUCAAGGACAGCCUGAUCUACAUAGUGAGUUCCAGAGCAGCUGGGGUUUCAUAAAGAGACACUGUCUCAAAACAACAACAACAGCAAGCAUACAGGUGGGGAUCAGGGAAAAAUAGAGCCACAAUUGAAAGUCCGCUAAAAGUUGGCCUUCUAUUUGUUUUAUCAUAGAUUGUCCGUGUUCACUGAACUUCUUAUUAAAGGAAGUAAAUUUAAAUCCAAAUCUUUUGACUAUAGAGAAAUUUCCACUUUAUUUUACUCUCUGCUUUAAAGUGACUAUAAUCAGCUGUGCAAAUAUAACUCCUUCUAUAUUCUACCAAAUGGCAAACUACACUCAAUGAAUCAGUGUUAAAUGAGGUAGAUGAAUAUUUACAUGAAGUCCAUCUUUUUAUCAUUUUCCCACUUUGUCUGCUCCUGCCCAAACACAGUAAUACAACUGGAAUCAUUCAUCUUGAAGUCAUGUAAUCCAAGCUCUGCCCAUCACUAGAUAGACCCCAAACCAUAAAUGCAUAUUUUCUGAAUCUCAGCUUUCUCAUAUUUUGAGAAAAUUAUCAUGUGGGCCAUGUAUCUCUCCCUGGGUGUAGCUAUAAGAGCUUAAGGAGAUAAGGUACCCAAAUGAUAUUCACAGUGUCCCCAGACCAGGGAAAUAUCAUGGAAUUCUAAUUCCCAUAUCAUUUUCCAAACAGCUCUUCUGUUCCAUCUCCAACUCUAAACACAACACCAUGUUCUUGACGAUAUUCAAGUAUGAUAAUAAUAUCAUAAAAAUAACAAUCCAGUGUUCUUGUGGAGGUAGAGGUGACAUGAACAGAUGGACUGACAUUCAUUAGUGCCCUAAUCCAAGUGUCAAAGUCUGGUUUUCCCAAAAGAAUGGCCAGUAUGGUCAACGCCUCCUCCCCUAGUUUACUUAAAUGCCAAAGCACCUGCUGAGUUCACCUGGGCAUUUACGAAAAACAAACUCCUGCCAAAAACAAAUCUCUCUCCUUUUGAUACACUGAAUAAGAGAUAAGCAUGAAUUAAACAUUUAUGGAGACACUUUACUGAAGUCUCAGGUAACAGGAAGUGUUUUGGGAUUUAGUUGGCAUACUUUAAGUGUACAUGAGAUGAGGGGAGACACAUAGGGAAUGUUCCUGGGAUUUUUUUCUUUCUUUCUUUCUUACAUGUCAUUCCCCUCUGUUACUUUAAUACUAUAAUUUAUUUUUAAAGAGGCAUCAUUGGAUGGCAUAACAAAAUUUUAAAUAAUUGUUUACACCCAGAUAAGCACUAUUAAAGGGAAGGAUAGUGAAUUAACUUAAAUGCAUUUGCAAAAGAUUGAUUGUCCCAAGGGAGUAUGUGUACCCUAUGUCUUUAAUUAUUCUUCAAGUUUUGCCUAUCAGCUGACAAUUUCUUACAGAAAGGAAGGCAAACAACCUGGCUCUCCUGACAGCAAAGAGUUAUAAUAACACUAGAAUGAAACCGGGAGUGUCACUCAGCUUAUCUGCUCUAAUGUUGGAGUUACUCAGCCUCAGGAAUGUGAUAUAAGUGCAUGCUAGUGAACACAGUUGCUCAGAAUAUAUUAAACCAGAAGGUAAAUUCAACGCCAAUCUUCUCCAGUUUUUAAAGACUGGAGCAUUUAUUCUUAAGUAACUGGUGUAAUGGAUUCUAUAGAAUUAGAAUUCUUUUGUUUUUUUAAAAAAGUGUAUUCUUCCCCCCGCUGGUCACUGCAUCACCUGUAACUUUAUUAGAGAUAUGUUGUCUAUGCAGGAAUAAAACUGUUUUCUUUGCAUUGGGAUGAUCACUCUUUGUGCUAAGAAAGACCUUGCUAUACCCAAAUUCUGAACCCCGAAAUCACCAAGAAACUCGAUCUGAUAUAAAAGCAAAGAGUCUUGAGGGUCUCUUGCACGUAUCACUGUGAAAAUAGGCUGUGAUGAGUCCAAUCUGUGUUUUAUGCAUAAGGUUGGCCUUGAUUCACUAUGUUAUCAUUGUUGCUGACAACAGAUUUUCUCACCAAUCCCUGAUCCAUGCAAAAACACCUUCUAUUCCUGCACCACUGGUGUGUCACCAGCCUCAUAGCGUCCUUCUUUCUUAGCGUAUCUCCUCUUUGGAGACAAUGGUUUCUUUAACACUUACCAUAGUUCAGGGAUUCCAGCACCUGGUUUUGCCCAAACAUAAUAUAAACUGCCUUGGUUUGAGAGACAUAAUGUUUGAAUAUUUUGGUUUCAUGAAGCUCAAGUAUGCAUUGAUUAUGUCAAAUUUUACAUUAGACAUAUUUGCCAGAGUAGUAAUUAUCUGUAGCUUUUAUUCCUCGGUGGCACAACGGCUCUCUUCCCAGAGGACCCAGCUUCAUCUUUUCAAUAGAGCCAUUCUCUUAUCUUUAUAUGCCAAAAGCACAGGCUUUCUAAGCUAAUUAAUAUAUGCAAAAUCAACUUGACCAUUAUGCCCUUUCCUUCCUCCUUCAAGAGGUAAAGCAGAAUGACCUUCACCUUGGAUCUCUGUGGGAUUACCAUGCACUUGGAACCCUUCAAAUGUAGUAGAUGUCAGACUUGGCAAAUUGUGACAUUCAGUACUACAGGCAACCAGUCUUCAUUCUUAAUCUUUUAAAUGCUUAUCUUUGAUACCUGAACAGCAAGUUGAGAAGUCCUUCUCUGAGCCAACAUGUGGUGAGGAAGCCCACAGCAACCUAAAAAGAAAGAGAAUGGAGAUCAUAUCAAAGGAGUAACCGUCAGUUCUUGGCUGCUCCCACUGUCUGGUUGUGACUGUGUAAGAUCCUGAACCAGAACUAAAACCAACACACACACACACACACAGAGAGAGAGAGAGAGAGAGAGAGAGAGAGAGAGAGAGAGAGAGAGAGAGCGCAAACAUAACCUUUGAGCCACACAUGUUUAUGAAACAACAGAUUCAGGAGCUCCAGUGGUGCAAUGGUUCCAGAGGGAUAGGAGUCCAUUGUGUUGGAGAAGCAUGGUAGCAAGCAGCAGGAAGUGGGAAGCUGAGAGUUUCAAACUCGAGCACAAAUAGCAUGUAUCUGUUUGAAGCCACAGCUCUCCCUCUCUGAGUCUGAAGGGGAUUUAAUGGAGUGGAUAUAGGGAGAUAAUUGUGCUCCAAUGUUGUGAAUACUCUAGAAAUGAAAGGGCUUCUAGACAGAGAUUUUGCACUUUUCUUCCUCGUCAGAAAUCCCCAUGUCUCAUUUUAUAAAUUAACAACUUGGCAUGAUACAUUUAAUUGCAAUUUCUUCCUCGGCCUAUGUAAAGUUCAAUCUGAAACAAUUUCAGAGCAUUUCAUUUUAAUGACUGAAAUGUGUAUUCAAUUCCUAUAAAAAUCCAGAGCUCUAUUCCAAAUGCAGUUGACAUUCUCCAGCACAUCAUUUAAAUUUCUCUUAGUAAUUUCCUGCCUUCUGUGAGACAGUGAUAUUCUACAGCCUCAAGGCAUUUUGCAUAUUUUGUGGAUUUUAACAUUUCAAGUCCUGGUGGUUUUUACACUCUCAUUAUGCCCUUGUUCAUAUCCCAUAUUUCCCUUCAUUUCUCUCUAGGAAACAAUGGAAAACUAAACAAUUUGCAUGCUUUUAAGAAGCAUUUUCUCUGAGACAGGAAUAAGUGAGGAUUUGAGACAAAAGUAAAGAAGAAGAUAUUUGGAGUGAAAAAAGUAUUGUACUCAUGGCAGGUGAAGGACAAUGCCACAGAAUUGCUUUUCUGCUCCAAAGUCCUGGAAAUAGGUGGAGAAUCACAUUCACAUAGACUAAAUACAUUUACAAACCCUCUAUAGUAUUUGAAAUCUCUCAGGUAGGAGAAUAGGAGAGAAAUCAUUCUAAAUAUGUUACCUUUCCAAAUAUAAACUCUGUGGAAGGGCGGAAAAAUACUUGAGUGAAAAAAGAGAGAAAAGAAUGAUCUAACCCAAAGUCAAAACUGGGAGCCAUUGUGUAGAGCAACUCCAGUAGAGCGGAAUUUCAAUGCAGCACAGUGAAAAAGAAGGGCUCUUCAUGUCUACUUUUACAACUGGAAAAUAAGUAUUUUUCUCACAUAUUAUUGUAUUUAACAUCAAAUAUCUAGACUAUGAAACAUAGCCCUAGAUGUUUAAAUUUUAUAAAAGUGAUAUUCCCAAUAGAUAUUUUUAUUUUCAGCUUUUAAUCUUUGAUUUCUUCUUAAUCAGUAUGUUGAAGCCUCCAUAUAUAUAUAUAUAUAUAUAUAUAUAUAUAUAUAUAUAUAUCCAUCUUCAUAACCAAUAACUACCAGGAAAUAACAGUCACAGUGGUUGAUAAAUGAACACACUUUGCACUAAGAUUUGAGGGUCUAUCUCUUGUGAAUUCAGGUGAAAUCUCUAUGAACUAUUAGAAAAAUCUGAAUUACUAUCUAGUUUUUGUAACCACGAUUUAAAAAAGCAAGAGUUUCUAUUUUCUUUAAGUGAUUGUUCUUGGAGAAGGAAGUCAGUACAGUACAGGGAAGUUAAGGACUCUGAGUUUAACACACAGGAAACCCAAAGUAGUCACUUGCACAGGCCAUAAGAAGAGGGUGACCAGAUAGACCCUGUGACAUACCUACGGGUGAAGAUGCUUCCCAGUCAUUCUCAGUCAUUGGCCGCCUAUCUCUAACACAUAAAUGACUGUUUAACCAGUUUUCCCCAGUAUUAUUAAAUAUGAUAACUUUAAGGAAUUCAACUUAAAGGAGAAUGGUUUCUUUUGACUGUGCUUCCCAAGUUUCAGGCUAUGAUCCACUUGCUUCCUUGCUUUUAGGCCUGUGCAAGGGCAUAAACAUCAGAGCAGAUGGUAGAAGAAAGUUGUUCACCUAAUGGUAGCUAGAAAGAAGAGAAAGAGAUAUCUUGGGGGGAGGAAGCUCUGGAGACAAGAUAGAGCCUUCAAAGGUACACACACCCCAGUCCAUCCAACAAGCCCACUUCCUAAACAGUCCAUCCUGCUAUGAAUUCAUCAGUGGAGUUACUGCCCUAUUAAUGCUAGAGCCUAUCUGUAACAAUAAGUCUUUACUCCAUCCACCCGAGCCCUGCCGCCACUUGGGUGGCCAGAAUAACAUACAGAGUCUUAUAUUAGUUUACAAUGCAGCUGGCCAAUUGACUAGGAUUUCUUAUGUGCUAGCUCAGUCUUAAUUAUCAUAAAUCUAUAUACUUUAUAAGACUUAUCUUAUUGAGGACACCUUCCGUUAGUAUCCUCUUCCCAGGAUCACAUGGCGGCUCCAGGGCAGAGAGCAGGAGGAAGAGGAAGAACAAAACAGAGAUUUCCUG